rnacentral:rRNA from 1 species
GACGAACCGUCCGAACGUUAUUCGGAAUCACUGGGCUUAAAGGGUGCGUAGGCGGCGCGGAAAGUUGGGUGUGAAAUCCCUCGGCUCAACCGAGGAACUGCGCCCAAAACUGCCGUGCUCGAGGGAGAUAGAGGUGAGCGGAACUUAGGGUGGAGCGGUGAAAUGCGUUGAUAUCCUAAGGAACACCGGUGGCGAAAGCGGCUCACUGGAUCUCUUCUGACGCUGAGGCACGAAAGCUAGGGUAGCGAACGGG